CCUGUUCCAUCUUGAACACACCCAUCCCAUCGGAUCUGGGAAGCUAAGCAGGGUUGGGCUUGGUUUGGCCUUGGAUGGGAGACCCUUCCCAGGGAAAACUGGGGACGUCCAGGC
rnacentral:rRNA from 1 species